GUGUGGUAGACUGUUCUCCAAUCAAGUGUGGACAGUUAAAUACUAUGUAAAAAGAUACUCUUUGCAAGUUUGAAGAACACAUAAUAUGCAAGGGUUACAGGUCAUGGGGAAGAACAGCAAAAGGUACGUCAGAACAAAGCAGCAUUCUUGAUGCUCGGAAUAAGUUUAGCUACUGUUUUACCUUUUUUUUUAUAUAAGGAGCUACUGUUUUACUUCUUCUAAUGCAGAUUUACUGAAACCAACACUAUUUUGUCAAAGUGACACAGAUAGCAACCAAGAAAGAGGAAACAGUUUUCUAUUCAUACUAUUUUCUUCACUCCUGAUUUAGAGGACGGGAGGAACAGAUAUUUAGACUAUUUUCUCACCUUCACUACCCAUACGAAGUGCCUCAGCAAAUGUGGAUGCUCCAACAGGUAGAAUCAUGAACUCUUGCAUAGCCAAAUUGUUACCGGCAUGGCUCCCUCCAUUUAUCACAUUGAACGCUGGAACUGGCAUUACAAGUUCUUUGGUUCCAGAUAUUUCUUGAAUGUGUUUAUACAAAGGUACUGCUUUUGCUCCAGCACCAGCUCUACACACAC